rnacentral:misc_RNA from 1 species
UCGAAUGUAAACUUGGGAUGUUGCUGACUCUCUCUGGGGGGUAAUGUGCACUUCCUUGAUAUUCAAAUCCACCUGUGCACAAUCAAGUAGGCAUGGAUUGAGUUCUGUGCCUAUGUUUUAUUUACACACACCUAUGUUGUUAAAAGAUGGUUUUUUUAAUAAUAAUAAUCAUUA